UACGUAGGGCGCAAGCGUUGUCCGGAAUUAUUGGGCGUAAAGAGCUCGUAGGCGGUCUGUCGCGUCCGUUGUGAAAACUCGAGGCUCAACCUCGGGCUUGCAGUGGAUACGGGCAGACUAGAGUGCGGUAGGGGAGACUGGAAUUCCUGGUGUAGCGGUGAAAUGCGUAGAGAUUGGAAAGAACACCGAUGGCGAAGGCACUUUACUGGGCUAUUACUAACACUCAGAGACGAAAGCUAGGGUAGCAAAUGGG
rnacentral:rRNA from 1 species